CCGUUUGCAAAGGCCCAUCUGCACCCCUAUAUUCAAGAUGUCCCUCGGGACUAUGAACAUAAACGCGCUCGUAAUACGCGGAUCGGACCCGGGGGCGGUACCCGGCGGCUCCACCAAACAUCCUUCAUUUGGGGAUCAUGGGGCCGAAAUAGGAUCGACGAACGUCUAAAGGGGUUAGCUUUGUUUCGGCUGUCUGCCACCGUUAUCGGCGAAAACUGUACAAUUGCAAAUGACAAUCGUGCUCCAAUGGCGAUGGCCGCGUAAGCGACCGGAACUGUUGAAAUCUUAAGUCCUAGAGCUUUGCAGCGCUAGGCGGGGUUCGCAGGUACCUGGCAACAGAAACCUGCACU
rnacentral:tmRNA from 1 species